AUACCUGGCAGGGGAGAGAGACCAUGAUCACGAAGGUGGUUUUCCCAGGGUGAGGCUUCUCCAUUGCACUCCGGAGGUGCUGACCCCUGUGAUUCCACCCCCACGCCCCCCACCCCCAGAAAAAAAAGAAGAGACAUUUUGGAGCUAACAGAACUGUUCUCCAUC
rnacentral:snRNA from 1 species